UACGUAGGUGGCAAGCGUUGUCCGGAUUUACUGGGCGUAAAGAGCGCGCAGGCGGUCGUUCAAGUCGCGUGUGAAAGCCCCCGGCUCAACUGGGGAGGGUCACGCGAUACUGAUCGACUCGAAGGCAGGAGAGGGUAGUGAAUUCCCGGUGUAGUGGUGAAAUGCGUAGAUAUCGGGAGGAACACCAGUGGCGAAGGCGACUACCUGGCCUGUUCUUGACGCUGAGGCGCGAAAGCUAGGGGAGCAAACGGG
rnacentral:rRNA from 1 species